GUGAGUGUCAUCAUGAAUAACAGGAAGGGUGGCAGUGACAUUCAUCAGUUUAUUGGGCAGCCUCAGAAAAGUUGACAGCAGUGAGAAAAUGAGUACCAGUCACACGAUAAGUAUGCAGUAGUACAAGAGAGUAAAGGGAGAGAGGGUGUAAGGAUGCCAACAGAGCAGGGAGAGCAGGUGACAUGGAGGCUCCCCCACAGGCUGCCAGCUCCACUGGUACAACAGACCUGCAGUCAUGAACCUGGAGUGAAUCAGCAGGUCCACUCAGCCAGAGAAGUACCAAAACGUCCCAGUAUUUACUUACAGGGAUGCAGUCCUCGGGUCGGAAAUCUGGGCAUCGUAUUUUGUAAUCCACCGGGAUGAACCGAUUGUUUUUAUUUGUACAUUGAUACUUCACACAAUGAUCAACAGGGUGUGACCAAACUUGCCCAGGCUGUCAAGUAGAAAUAAUUUUCUCAGGGUUAGUUGUAUUGAAUAUAGGCACAAUAUAUUGAAUAAAAUACAAUUAACACACAACUUAUAAACGAUCAAUAAAUAAGUACUUUCCAAAAAAAGUUUACGAUUUUAAGACAUUUUAUAUCACAGUGAAUAGAAAAGCCUCGGGCCACAGUAGCUCCAACCCUCUAACUAACUGGGUGUCAUGCCUGCCCUGUUAGCCCUCCUGCGCUAUCAUUCGAUGUGACAAGCUGCCACUGACCAAACACCCUUUUCCCAGCCCAUGCCCUGUUUUCCCCAG
ensembl:lncRNA